rfam:Xenorhabdus bovienii SS-2004 chromosome, complete genome
AAAAGCACGACAUUGCUCACAUUGCUUCCAGUGUUUUUAUUAGCCAGCUCGGGUGCUGGCUAUUUUUU